GACGGAGGGUGCUAGCGUUGUUCGGAAUGACUGGGCGUAAAGGGCUCGUAGGCGGCCAACUAAGUCAGACGUGAAAUCCCUCAGCUUAACUGGGGAACUGCGUCUGAUACUAGCGAGCUUGAGUGCAGGAGAGGAACGCGGAAUUCCAGGUGUAGCGGUGAAAUGCGUAGAUAUCUGGAGGAACACCGGUGGCGAAGGCGGCGUUCUGGACUGCAACUGACACUGAAAAACGAAAGCCAGGGGAGCAAACGGG
rnacentral:rRNA from 1 species